AUGUUUUUAGUAUAUAAAGUACACUUACCUUCCAAGUAAGAAGAUAAUUAAUUAAAAACAUA
rnacentral:tRNA from 2 species